UUGGAAGGGCGGAGGGCCGCUUCCGGCGCGAGCCGGGGGAGGAAAGUCCGAACACCAAAGGGCGCGAUGCCGCGUAACCUGUAGCCGCCGACGUAAGGAGGCGGAAAUGGGAUACACGCGGGCGGCCAGGCCGCGAGGCUUGCCGACGGACAGUGCCACAGAAACUUAAACCGCCGAAAUUGUAGCGGCGCUCUAUGAGCGCCCGAAUGCGCGACGGUCAUAGACCGCCGUUACAGUUGGCAAGGGUGAAAAGGUGGGGUAAGAGCCCACCGCUCCAAGCGCAAGCGCGGAGGCACGGAAAACCCCAUCGGGUGCAAGGCCAAAUAGGGGACCGCGGAGCGGCCCGCUCCAGGUUUCGCGCAAGCGGAACAGGUCCCGGGUAUCGGCUGCUCAGACAAAUGGUUCUCUCCGUUCCGCAAGGGACGCAGACAGAAUUCGGCUUACAGCCCUUCCAAAAUC
rnacentral:RNase_P_RNA from 1 species